rnacentral:rRNA from 1 species
CACGUAGGGUGCGAGCGUUGUCCGGAAUUAUUGGGCGUAAAGAGCUCGUAGGCGGUGUGUCGCGUCGGCCGUGAAAACCUGCAGCUUAACUGUGGGCGUGCGGUCGAUACGGGCAUCACUGGAGUUCGGCAGGGGAGACUGGAAUUCCUGGUGUAGCGGUGAAAUGCGCAGAUAUCAGGAGGAACACCGGUGGCGAAGGCGGGGUCUCUGGGGCCGAUACUGACGUGAGGAGCGAAAAGCGUGGGGGAGCAAAACAGG